UUUGAUCAUGGCUCAGAACGAACGCUGGCGGCAGGCUUAACACAUGCAAGUCGAGCGCACUCUUCGGAGUGAGCGGCGGACGGGUUAGUAACGCGUGGGAACGUACCCAGAUCUAAGGAAUAGCCACUGGAAACGGUGAGUAAUACCUUAUACGCCCUUCGGGGGAAAGAUUUAUCGGAUUNGGAUCGGCCCGCGUNAGAUNAGAUAGUUGGUGGGGUAANGNCNUACCAAGUAUAGGAUNAAUAGCUGGUUUUAGAGGAUGAUCAGCAACACUGGGAUUGAGACACGGCCCAGACUCCUACGGGAGGCAGCAGUGGGGAAUCUUGGACAAUGGGCGCAAGCCUGAUCCAGCCAUGCCGCGUGAGUGAUGAAGGCCUUAGGGUCGUAAAGCUCUUUCGCCAGGGAUGAUAAUGACAGUACCUGGUAAAGAAACCCCGGCUAACUCCGUGC
rnacentral:rRNA from 1 species